rnacentral:rRNA from 1 species
UUUCCUACGGGAGGCUGCAGUGAGGAAUAUUGGUCAAUGGGCGGAAGCCUGAACCAGCCAUGCCGCGUGCGGGAGGAAGGCCCUACGGGUUGUAAACCGCUUUUCCCCGGGAAGAAUAAGCCCCCCGCGGGGGGUGAUGCCGGUACCGGGGGAAUAAGGAUCGGCUAACUCCGUGCCAGCAGCCGCGGUAAUUCGGAGGAUCCGAGCGUUAUCCGGAUUUACUGGGUUUAAAGGGUGCGUAGGCGGCCCUGCAAGGCAGCGGUGAAAUGUGGCGGCUCAACCGUUUCGCUGCCGCGGAUACUGUAGGGCUUGGAUGCGGUCGAGGCGGGUGGAAUUCGUGGUGUAGCGGUGAAAUGCAUAGAUAUCACGAGGAACGCCGAUAGCGAAGGCAGCUCGCCGGGCCGCGAUCGACGCUGAGGCACGAAAGCGUGGGGAUCAAACAGGAUUAGAUACCCGGGUAGUCU